rnacentral:lncRNA from 1 species
CCCCUUUUGACAGGAGUUGACUCAUAGGGUCGAUCCAAUUCUUUAAACUCGAAUUUUUCUCAAUAUAUCCAUCUAAAAAAUAUGAAAUUACCUCCAAUGGAUCACAAAUCUUCUGUUCUUGCUCUUGAAGCUUUCGAAUCAGAACUUGAUAAAAUUAUGAUUUUGUCUCUGAAAUACAAUAAAUCUUUUUUCAAGUUAAAAUCAUUAGUAACCCCCUCAAAUAUGUUGUAAUCAUCAAAAUCAAUUCAUGGAGCAACAAUAAGGAUCAAAAAAAUUAUCUUUGUAUAACUUGUUAAUCUUUAACUCAUUUAUAUGGCCA